UUAUUAACUGGAAAAAUUUUGUGCAGAUUGUCAUCUGGUUUAUUAUACCAGAAACAAGUCCACAAGCUGAUCAUGAUAACAAUGCCCUAGCGCUGAUUGUUCUACUCCAAUAUGUUCCCAGGUUAUAUCUGAUUUUCCCAUUAAGUUCACAAAUAAUUAAAGCAAAUGGAGUCGUCACAAAAACUGCUUGGGCAGGGGCUGCAUAUAAUCUGCUAUUGUACAUGUUGGCUAGCCAUGUUUUAGGGGCAUCGUGGUACUUACUAUCUGUUGACCAAUACACGUCAUGCUGGAAA